ACGCACGACCCCCGCGCAGAGCCAAAAGCCAAGAAAAACACGGCAAAAUCCGUGGUGGUAGUAGUAACAUUCUCGGCUCCCCGCGCGCGCGUAGAGCCCAAUCUCGUGGUCGUGGACCGCGGACGCGCGCGCGCGCGCGGCUAAAAUACGUCGGUUUCCGCGUCCUACUACCCACACGUCCAAAUCCCAUUCCUUUUUCUUCAUCUUUCUUUUUCUCCUCUUCUUCUUCUUCUCCUUCUCAUCCUGUGACGACGGCGACGAAGCUACCUGCCGCUGGUGAUGCUGUGUGAUGCUGUGGCUGCUUCAUUAAUUGGGGAAAGUCUGGUGGCCACACAGGUUAUCACACACGGGUGAAGGCUGAAGUGAACAAGCGUCGUGUGUCUCGAAAUACAAAGAGAUAAUGGAAUUGGAAGUAGCUAGAAAAAUUGUGGCAUGACAAAAAUCAAACAAGGGGUAGGUGCGAAAUUAAAGAGAUUAUCGCCUUCCGAGUGCCAGAAAUGUUGGAGAAGAAGUUAGAUACGAUCUACAUAGCCUGUAUAUAAAGGCACAAUGAUAAAGACAUUAUGAAUUAAUUAACUGGGGGAAAAAGGAUAGCUAUGCAUUAAUAUGCAUAUCUAAUUGGCAGCAUAUAGCUCAAUUGCCCAACGUGGGGCACUGAUCUGCUGCAAAUUACUAUUAUAUAUCCCUCUGACUCUAGGGAUUGCAUUGUCACACAUGGGGGCAAGGAUGCAACUGUUUGAACUAUUCAAUCAGAGAGCCAUCACGGAUCGUCUUAUAUAUUCAGGAACACCCGCAUGUGUUCUUGGCUCAGAGCACGCAUGCAUGCAUACAUGCAUGAAUGCUGCAAAUAGAUGUACAUCGAUUGUGAUUCAGCAGGGCAUGCUGUUCAUGUGCCGGAGGCUUGUCGGUCUAGUACAUAAUAAUGUGAAGAUGUAAAUGAUACAUGAUCCGGGAAAUAUAUGUAUGUGUUGCAGAGCUGCAAGAAACAA